CCUACGGGUGGCAGCAGUGAGGAAUAUUGGGCAAUGGCCGAAAGGCUGAACCAGCCAAGUAGCGUGAGGGAAGACUGCCCUAUGGGUUGUAAACCUCUUUUAUGCGGGGAUAAAGAUGUGCAAGUGUGGAUGUUUGCAGUUACCGCAUGAAUACGGACAGCCUAGUCCAGUGCCGUCAGCCGCGGUAAUACGGAAGGUCCGGGCGUUAUCCGGAUUUAUUGGGUUGAAAGGGAGCGUAGGCGUGUUGUUACGCGUGCCGUGAAAUUUUAGGGCUCAACCGUGAGAGGGCGGUGGGAACUGGAGACCUUGAGUGCACGGAAGGCAAGCGGAAUUCGUGGUGUAGCGGUGAAAUGCUUAGAGA
rnacentral:rRNA from 1 species